rnacentral:rRNA from 1 species
UACGGAGGAUCCGAGCGUUAUCCGGAUUUAUUGGGUUUAAAGGGUGCGUAGGCGGUUUGAUAAGUUAGAGGUGAAAUGUCGGGGCUCAACCCCGAAACUGCCUCUAAUACUGUUGGACUAGAGAAUAGUUGCGGUAGGCGGAAUGUAUGGUGUAGCGGUGAAAUGCUUAGUGAUCAUACAGAACACCGAUUGCGUAGGCAGCUUACCAAACUAUAUCUGACGUUGAGGCACGAAAGCGUGGGUAGCAAACAGG